GCAUAGCCCUAAACCUUGAUGAGAUCUUACAUACUCACCCGCCUGGGUACUACGAGCAUCAGCUUAAAACCCAAAGGACUUGGCGGUGCUUUAGACCCACCUAGAGGAGCCUGUUCUAGAACCGAUAACCCCCGUUAAACCUCACCCUCCCUUGUUUCUCCCGCCUAUAUACCGCCGUCGUCAGCUUACCCUGUGAAGGUCAAAUAGUAAGCUUAACCAGCAAUGCUUAAAACGUCAGGUCGAGGUGUAGCAUAUGAGAGGGGAAGAAAUGGGCUACAUUCCUUACUCCAUAAGGCAAACGGACAAUAUAAUGAAACGUAUAUUAGAAGGAGGAUUUAGCAGUAAGCAGAAAAUAGAGCGUCCUGCUGAAACUGGCCCUGAAGCGCGC
rnacentral:rRNA from 1 species